CCUACGGGAGGCAGCAGUAGGGAAUAUUGCUCAAUGGGGGAAACCCUGAAGCAGCAACGCCGCGUGGGGGAUGAAGGUUUUCGGAUUGUAAACCCCUUUUGUUAGGGAAGAUAAUGACGGUAUCUGACGAAUAAGCACCGGCUAACUCCGUGCCAGCAGCCGCGGUAAUACGGAGGGUGCAAGCGUUAUUCGGAAUCACUGGGCGUAAAGAGAGCGUAGGCGGGAUAGCAAGUCAGAUGUGAAAUCCUAUGGCUUAACCAUAGAACUGCAUAUGAAACUGUUAUUCUAGAGUAUGGGAGAGGUAGGUGGAAUUCUUGGUGUAGGGGUGAAAUCCGUAGAGAUCAAGAGGAAUACUCAUUGCGAAGGCGACAUGCUGGAACAUAACUGACGCUGAGGCGCGAAAGCGUGGGGAGCGAACAGGAUUAGAUACCCGGGUAGUC
rnacentral:rRNA from 1 species